ACGGCCGUAGCUCAGUCAGGUAGAGCGCCCCUCGUAUGGGGAGCGGAGCACGCACACGGGAGCACCCGUGCUGCUAUCUCCGGGUAUCGGCCGGUACGCGCGUAGGUUCGAAUCCUGCCGGCCGUU
rnacentral:tRNA from 1 species